rnacentral:rRNA from 1 species
UACGGAGGGGACUAGCGUUGUUCGGAAUUACUGGGCGUAAAGCGCACGUAGGCGGAUUUGUAAGUCAGGGGUGAAAUCCCGAGGCUCAACCUCGGAACUGCCUUUCAUACUGGCAAUCUUGAGUCCGGGAGAGGUGAGUGGAACUCCUAGUGUAGAGGUGAAAUUCGUAGAUAUUAGGAAGAACACCAGUGGCGAAGGCGGCUCACUGGCCCGGAACUGACGCUGAGGUACGAAAGCGUGGGGAGCAACAG